AUCUGAAUAGCUCAAUGGUAAGAGCAGUCGCUCGACAAGCGAAAAACUCGGAUUCGAUUCCCGAUUCAGUGU
rfam:Lasius niger Lnig_2.1_16634, whole genome shotgun sequence.